rnacentral:rRNA from 1 species
AGAUUGAACGCUGGCGGCAGGCCUAACACAUGCAAGUCGAGCGGUAGAGAGGUGCUUGCAUCUCUUGAGAGCGGCGGACGGGUGAGUAAUGCCUAGGAAUCUGCCUAGUGGUGGGGGAUAACGGUUCGGAAACGGACGCUAAUACCGCAUACGUCCUACGGGAGAAAGCGGGGGACCUUCGGGCCUCGCGCCAUUAGAUGAGCCUAGGUCGGAUUAGCUAGUUGGUGAGGUAUGGCUCACCAAGGCGACGAUCCGUAACUCGGUCUGAGAGGAUGAUCAGUCACACUGGAACUGAACGACACGGUCCAGACUCCGUACGGGAGCAGCGAGGUAGGGAAUGUUAGAACAAGUGGGACAAAGCC